GCAUCGGUGGUUCAGUGAUAGAAUGCUCGCCUGCCACGCGGGCUCCCCGGGUUCGAUUCCCGGCCGAUGCA
rnacentral:tRNA from 1 species